UUUCCUUCUCCCUAGUCCCUCCCACUCUCCAACUUUUUUCAGAGAAAAAACCCUAAACCCUCGAUCGGUUCUCUCUACGUUCCCUCUCCCUCCCACUCGAUCUCCAUCGAUUUGUUCUCUCAAAUUCCAUCUCUCGUUCGACACCCUCGAUCUAUUCUCUCCCAUUCACUCUCCAUCGAUUCGCACUGACUCCCUCUCGUUCGACGCGUCUCUGCGUUCCCUCGGCGCUACUCGCAUUCAGCAACUCCUCAAGGUACAAUCUCUGCUUCUCAAUCUCCCGCGCUCCUCCCACUUCUUGAAUCCUCGCCAUCCGCAUAAGCAACAACAAAGAGUGGUGCAGAUUCUCUGGUAUUCAAGCCUGUGGGUUCUUUUUCUUGGAAUUUUUUGGAACUAAUCUUGCAAAUCAUCGCGUGACUGAAUUAUUUGACUGCCGCGGAAUGGGUUGUGUUCUUGGGAAUUUUCAGAUGGAGAGUGGUAGGACUCACCCUGUGCUGCUUGCAAGAUCCUACGUAGAAGUUGCACUCAGAAUUGUGUUCACUGCUCCCUAUUUCACUGAACACGAGCCCCACAAAUUUGCAAAUGUGGACACCAAUGCCAUCAAGAUGCUGCAGAAUUGUACAUGAUGAAUUGGGUGUGAUGAUAUGUUCCUCCUAAACAAGUUAUGGAUGAUUACAGUUGGUUGGAUGGAUAUCAUUAUACUUCAUCAACCAAAGAUAUAGGCCCCAAUAGUACUCUUACUUACUCUCAGUCAAAUCCUCAACAAGUCAGUAGCAAUGGAUUGAGUGGGUCAGUCUGCUUUCCCUUUCCUGGAAAACAAGUUUCAUCUGCACUGCAGGGGGGAAAACAGUAUGGUUGGCAAGAUCAUCAUACUUUUGAGCUUUUAAAAGCACACCAGAAUCAACAGCUGCAGCCACAACAACCACUCACAAUAGAAAAUCAGCAUUCCACUCAACUGCCUGAGCAAUUUCAAGGACAGUCAAUCUGGACUAGUCAUUCCUUUGUGUGAUAUCAGUAUAAGAAUAUUGAUGGUCCUUGAAGGAUUAUUACAAAUGUGCCAUGCCUUCUCUGCCCAUUCAAACUCCUAUUCUGAUGGCUUGUCAUUGAAUGUUGUUGGAGUUUUUUAGCCUAGACUUGGUUCCAGGAACUUGAUACCUCAUAAGGUGAGUUCCAAAUUAUUCUUCGCACUGAUAAUAUCUGUAUUCUGUAGUGAACACAGCUUGAAAUUUGGACAAUCUUGUAUGUCAAACUUAUCCACUUUCAUUGAAUUUUAGAAUUCCCAUCUCGUGUUAUACCUGACUGAAUGGGAUACUGCUUUUGUUUUAGCCUGUCUUAUAUACUACUAUCUUCUACAAUAUUGCUGGUUUGAAGUCUCAAGUAUCAUGGCCUUGAUACUUGAUAGUGGUUGUGUUUGUGGUUAAUUUUACAGGAGCUGAACUUGGGGAGGAAAAGGGUUAGUUGAGUUCAUUUCUUUACACUUUGCAGCAUGCCUAGUUACUUGUUUUUGAACAAGCAUUUUUUUUUAACUUUAUGGUUACUUGUGUUUCAGAUAAAAUCACUUCAACAUGAACUUUUGUGGAGGAAAGGGAAGGAUUUGAGUGUCCAAAUGAGGGAGUUGUUGUGAAAUGUGAUUUAUCAUUACCUUGAAUGAUGAUUUUUCAUUUGUUAAUGGAUGAUUGUGCACAGCUACUGAUAUUUUUUUUUCAACCUCAUUUUUAUGGAUAUGUUUGACAUGAUGACAGUUUGGAGAUGACUGAAAGAAAUCUUAUUAACAAUUCUGGUCAAUAAUUGUAUAUUUUUGUCAUUCAUCGGAUGUCUGCACAAGUCAUAAAUCUACAAUUUAUGUGUUUAAUGAUUUUCAAUGUAUUCUAAUUAUGACAUAUCAGAAAAGUUAUGAAUGCAGUGAAAUGGAAGACUUGGAUGGUUCAGAUAAAAGCUCUUUUAAUUGUUCUUUCUACCUUUGUUUCAGUUUUGUCAGGAAUGUCCCUCAUGCAGUUGGUGAGCCAAAGCCAUAAUGAAGAUCAAAUCAUCAAAUAUGUUAAGGCUUUGGAUGAGGGAAGCCUUUACUUGGUACUCUACUAAAUUCAGUCACAUCAUUUGGUUUCUAGUUAGAUGAAAUUCAGUUACAUCUUUGAUUAGAAAGACUAAAUUGCAUCCACUCUUCUUGAUUGAAGAAGGAUAUAUAACAAACUGGCUUGAAGCUUCUUAUAUGAAGAGGUGAUUUUUUGUAUAUACUUCAUUGCAUUUUCAUAUUUGGCCAGGACUUUCCACGAUAUUGGCCCAAGAGUAGUUUUUAUAGCUCACUUGAGAGAGUAUGUUCUCAAGAACAAUUAGUUAUCAAUAUUAUUAGUAUUGUUUUGGACAAAUUAUUGAAGUGGGUUCAGUAUUGUUAUUCUCUUGGCUGGAAUAUUUGAAUGUAGGUUCUUUUGGCUGGAAUAUGUGAA